UUCACAGAAAGGGAACCUUCAGGGACCAGG
rnacentral:piRNA from 1 species